AUUGAACGCUGGCGGCAUGCCUUACACAUGCAAGUCGAGCGGAUGACGGGAGCUUGCUCCUUGAUUCAGCGGCGGACGGGUGAGUAAUGCCUAGGAAUCUGCCUGGUAGUGGGGGACAACGUUUCGAAAGGAACGCUAAUACCGCAUACGUCCUACGGGAGAAAGCAGGGGACCUUCGGGCCUUGCGCUAUCAGAUGAGCCUAGGUCGGAUUAGCUAGUAGGUGAGGUAAUGGCUCACCUAGGCGACGAUCCGUAACUGGUCUGAGAGGAUGAUCAGUCACACUGGAACUGAGACACGGUCCAGACUCCUACGGGAGGCAGCAGUGGGGAAUAUUGGACAAUGGGCGAAAGCCUGAUCCAGCCAUGCCGCGUGUGUGAAGAAGGUCUUCGGAUUGUAAAGCACUUUAAGUUGGGAGGAAGGGCAGUAAGCUAAUACCUUGCUGUUUUGACGUUACCGACAGAAUAAGCACCGGCUAACUCUGUGCCAGCAGCCGCAGUAACAC
rnacentral:rRNA from 1 species